GGGUUGUGAGGUUAAGCGACUAAGCGUACACGGUGGAUGCCCUGGCAGUCAGAGGCGAUGAAGGACGUGCUAAUCUGCGAUAAGCGUCGGUAAGGUGAUAUGAACCGUUAUAACCGGCGAUUUCCGAAUGGGGAAACCCAGUGUGUUUCGACACACUAUCAUUAACUGAAUCCAUAGGUUAAUGAGGCGAACCGGGGGAACUGAAACAUCUAAGUACCCCGAGGAAAAGAAAUCAACCGAGAUUCCCCCAGUAGCGGCGAGCGAACGGGGAGCAGCCCAGAGCCUGAAUCAGUGUGUGUGUUAGUGGAAGCGUCUGGAAAGGCGCGCGAUACAGGGUGACAGCCCCGUACACAAAAAUGCACAUGCUGUGAGCUCGAUGAGUAGGGCGGGACACGUGGUAUCCUGUCUGAAUAUGGGGGGACCAUCCUCCAAGGCUAAAUACUCCUGACUGACCGAUAGUGAACCAGUACCGUGAGGGAAAGGCGAAAAGAACCCCGGCGAGGGGAGUGAAAAAGAACCUGAAACCGUGUACGUACAAGCAGUGGGAGCACGCUUAGGCGUGUGACUGCGUACCUUUUGUAUAAUGGGUCAGCGACUUAUAUUCUGUAGCAAGGUUAACCGAAUAGGGGAGCCGAAGGGAAACCGAGUCUUAACUGGGCGUUAAGUUGCAGGGUAUAGACCCGAAACCCGGUGAUCUAGCCAUGGGCAGGUUGAAGGUUGGGUAACACUAACUGGAGGACCGAACCGACUAAUGUUGAAAAAUUAGCGGAUGACUUGUGGCUGGGGGUGAAAGGCCAAUCAAACCGGGAGAUAGCUGGUUCUCCCCGAAAGCUAUUUAGGUAGCGCCUCGUGAAUUCAUCUCCGGGGGUAGAGCACUGUUUCGGCAAGGGGGUCAUCCCGACUUACCAACCCGAUGCAAACUGCGAAUACCGGAGAAUGUUAUCACGGGAGACACACGGCGGGUGCUAACGUCCGUCGUGAAGAGGGAAACAACCCAGACCGCCAGCUAAGGUCCCAAAGUCAUGGUUAAGUGGGAAACGAUGUGGGAAGGCCCAGACAGCCAGGAUGUUGGCUUAGAAGCAGCCAUCAUUUAAAGAAAGCGUAAUAGCUCACUGGUCGAGUCGGCCUGCGCGGAAGAUGUAACGGGGCUAAACCAUGCACCGAAGCUGCGGCAGCGACGCUGAUGCGUUGUUGGGUAGGGGAGCGUUCUGUAAGCCUGCGAAGGUGUGCUGUGAGGCAUGCUGGAGGUAUCAGAAGUGCGAAUGCUGACAUAAGUAACGAUAAAGCGGGUGAAAAGCCCGCUCGCCGGAAGACCAAGGGUUCCUGUCCAACGUUAAUCGGGGCAGGGUGAGUCGACCCCUAAGGCGAGGCCGAAAGGCGUAGUCGAUGGGAAACAGGUUAAUAUUCCUGUACUUGGUGUUACUGCGAAGGGGGGACGGAGAAGGCUAUGUUGGCCGGGCGACGGUUGUCCCGGUUUAAGCGUGUAGGCUGGUUUUCCAGGCAAAUCCGGAAAAUCAAGGCUGAGGCGUGAUGACGAGGCACUACGGUGCUGAAGCAACAAAUGCCCUGCUUCCAGGAAAAGCCUCUAAGCAUCAGGUAACAUCAAAUCGUACCCCAAACCGACACAGGUGGUCAGGUAGAGAAUACCAAGGCGCUUGAGAGAACUCGGGUGAAGGAACUAGGCAAAAUGGUGCCGUAACUUCGGGAGAAGGCACGCUGAUAUGUAGGUGAAGUCCCUCGCGGAUGGAGCUGAAAUCAGUCGAAGAUACCAGCUGGCUGCAACUGUUUAUUAAAAACACAGCACUGUGCAAACACGAAAGUGGACGUAUACGGUGUGACGCCUGCCCGGUGCCGGAAGGUUAAUUGAUGGGGUUAGCCGCAAGGCGAAGCUCUUGAUCGAAGCCCCGGUAAACGGCGGCCGUAACUAUAACGGUCCUAAGGUAGCGAAAUUCCUUGUCGGGUAAGUUCCGACCUGCACGAAUGGCGUAAUGAUGGCCAGGCUGUCUCCACCCGAGACUCAGUGAAAUUGAACUCGCUGUGAAGAUGCAGUGUACCCGCGGCAAGACGGAAAGACCCCGUGAACCUUUACUAUAGCUUGACACUGAACAUUGAGCCUUGAUGUGUAGGAUAGGUGGGAGGCUUAGAAGUGUGGACGCCAGUCUGCAUGGAGCCGACCUUGAAAUACCACCCUUUAAUGUUUGAUGUUCUAACGUUGACCCGUAAUCCGGGUUGCGGACAGUGUCUGGUGGGUAGUUUGACUGGGGCGGUCUCCUCCUAAAGAGUAACGGAGGAGCACGAAGGUUGGCUAAUCCUGGUCGGACAUCAGGAGGUUAGUGCAAUGGCAUAAGCCAGCUUGACUGCGAGCGUGACGGCGCGAGCAGGUGCGAAAGCAGGUCAUAGUGAUCCGGUGGUUCUGAAUGGAAGGGCCAUCGCUCAACGGAUAAAAGGUACUCCGGGGAUAACAGGCUGAUACCGCCCAAGAGUUCAUAUCGACGGCGGUGUUUGGCACCUCGAUGUCGGCUCAUCACAUCCUGGGGCUGAAGUAGGUCCCAAGGGUAUGGCUGUUCGCCAUUUAAAGUGGUACGCGAGCUGGGUUUAGAACGUCGUGAGACAGUUCGGUCCCUAUCUGCCGUGGGCGCUGGAGAACUGAGGGGGGCUGCUCCUAGUACGAGAGGACCGGAGUGGACGCAUCACUGGUGUUCGGGUUGUCAUGCCAAUGGCACUGCCCGGUAGCUAAAUGCGGAAGAGAUAAGUGCUGAAAGCAUCUAAGCACGAAACUUGCCCCGAGAUGAGUUCUCCCUGACUCCUUGAGAGUCCUGAAGGAACGUUGAAGACGACGACGUUGAUAGGCCGGGUGUGUAAGCGCAGCGAUGCGUUGAGCUAACCGGUACUAAUGAACCGUGAGGCUUAACCUUACAACGCCGAAGGUGUUU
rnacentral:rRNA from 1 species